rnacentral:rRNA from 1 species
UCGAACGGGGUCCAUUCGGUGGCAACACCGAUGAAGAUCUAGUGGCGAACGGGUGCGUAACACGUGAGCAACCUACCCCGAAGACCGGGAUAACACCGGGAAACCGAUGCUAAUACCGGAUGUCCCCAUGAGCCCGCAUGAGCACAUGAGGAAAGGAACCCGCUUUGGGUGGGGCUCGCGGCCUAUCAGCUUGUUGGUGCGGUAACGGCCCACCAAGGCGACGACGGGUAGCUGGUCUGAGAGGACGAUCAGCCACACUGGGACUGAGACACGGCCCAGACUCCUACGGGAGGCAGCAGUAGGGAAUCUUGCGCAAUGGGCGAAAGCCUGACGCAGCAACGCCGCGUGGGGGAUGAAGGCCUUCGGGUUGUAAACUCCUUUCAGCGGGAACGAAAAUGACGGUACCCGCAGAAGAAGCCCCGGCCACUACGUG